rnacentral:rRNA from 1 species
AAAACGACUCUCGGCAACGGAUAUCUCGGCUCUCGCAUCGAUGAAGAACGCAGCGAAAUGCGAUACUUGGUGUGAAUUGCAGGAUCCCGCGAACCAUCGAGUCUUUGAACGCAAGUUGCGCCCGAAGCCUUUUGGCCGAGGGCACGUCUGCCUGGGUGUCA